AACGAACGCUGGCGGCAGGCCUAACACAUGCAAGUCGAGCGCCCCGCAAGGGGAGCGGCGGACGGGUGAGUAACACGUGGGAAUUUUCCUCAAGGUACGGAACAACUCAGGGAAACUUGGGCUAAUACCGUAUGAUGCAGAGAUGCCAAAGAUUUAUCGCCUUGGGAUAAGCCCGCGUCAGAUUAGGUAGUUGGUGGGGUAAUGGCCUACCAAGCCUGUGAUCUGUAGCUGGUCUGAGAGGACGAUCAGCCACAUUGGGACUGAGGCACGGCCCAAACUCCUACGGGAGGCAGCAGUGGGGAAUCUUGCGCAAUGGACGAAAGUCUGACGCAGCCAUGCCGCGUGAAUGAUGAAGGUCUUAGGAUUGUAAAGUUCUUUAGCCUGUGACGAUGAUGACGGUAACAGGAGAAUAAGCCCCGGCUAACUUCGUGCCAGCAGCCGCAGUAAUAC
rnacentral:rRNA from 1 species